UGAAUUAUAUCACGUGAUAAAGACACAAAUGUAAAGAGUCGUGGUGGGCGGAGCAAAGUGACAUAUUAUGUGACAAAGUCAAAUAUAAAGACUUGGGGGUGGGAGGAGCUAAGUGAAUUAUAUCACAUGAUAAAGAGACAAAUGUAAAGAGUCGGGGUGGCCGGAGCAAAGUGAAUUAUAUCACGUGAUAAAGACACAAACGGAAAGAGUCGGGGAUGGGCGGGCUAAGUGAAUUAUAUCACAUGAUAACAAAGACACAA